rnacentral:rRNA from 1 species
AACGAACGCUGGCGGCGUGGAUAAGACAUGCAAGUCGAACGGGGAAUUUUUAAGCUUGCUUUGAAAUUCCUAGUGGCGAACGGGUGAGUAACACGUGAGUUACCUGCCCCAAAGUGGGGGAUAGCCUCUCGAAAGGGAGAUUAAUACCGCAUGUGCUCGUAAGAGUAAAGGUGGCUUUGCUACCGCUUUGGGAUGGGCUCGCGGCCUAUCAGCUUGUUGGUGAGGUAAAGGCUUACCAAGGCUAUGACGGGUAGCUGGUCUGAGAGGACGACCAGUCACACUGGAACUGAGACACGGUCCAGACACCUACGGGUGGCAGCAGUCGAGAAUCAUUCACAAUGGGCGAAAGCCUGAUGGUGCGACGCCGCGUGGAGGAAGAAGGCCCUAGGGUCGUAAACUCCUGUCAUCAAGGAGUAAGGCAUAAGGGAGUAACUGCCUUUAUGUUUGAUAGUACUUGAAGAGGAAGGGACGGCUAACUUCG